rnacentral:misc_RNA from 1 species
GAUGAAGAACGCAGCGAAAUGCGAUAAGUAGUGUGAAUUGCAGAAUUCAGUGAAUCAUCGAAUCUUUGAACGCACAUUGCGCCCUUUGGUAUUCCUUAGGGCAAGCCUGUUCGAGCGUCAUUUAAACCUUCAAGCUCAGCUUGGUGUUGGGUGACUGUCCGCUUCACCGCGGACUCGCCUCAAAAUUAUUGGCGGCCGGUACAUUGGCUUCGAGCGCAGCAGAAACGCGAACUCGGGCCCGUCGUAUUGGCUCCCAGAAGCUAUCUUCACAAUUUUGACCUCGGAUCAGGUAGGGAUACCCGCUGAACUUAAGCAUAUCAAUAAGCGGAGGA